rnacentral:lncRNA from 1 species
GUGCGAGUCGCGGGAUACCAAGUUCUGCUACUACAACAACUACAACACCUCCCAGCCGCGCCACUUCUGCAAGGGCUGCCGGCGCUACUGGACCAAGGGCGGCACGCUCCGCAACGUACCCGUCGGCGGCGGCACCCGCAAGAAGCCCUCAUCGUCGCCGCCAUCGUCCUACGCGGCCGCCGCCAACGCCAACAAGCCCAAGAAGCCCUCCAAGAAGAAGCGCCGCGUCGUCGUCGUCGCGCCCCAGGACCCCGUCGCCGCCCCUGUCGCCGCCCCUACCCUCGUC